GGGUUGUGAGGUUAAGCGACUAAGCGUACACGGUGGAUGCCCUGGCAGUCAGAGGCGAUGAAGGACGUGCUAAUCUGCGAAAAGCGCCGGCGAGGUGAUAUGAACCUUUGACCCGGCGAUGUCCGAAUGGGGAAACCCAGUGUGUUUCGACACAUUAUCGUUAACUGAAUACAUAGGUUAACGAGGCGAACCGGGGGAACUGAAACAUCUAAGUACCCCGAGGAAAAGAAAUCAACCGAGAUUCCCCCAGUAGCGGCGAGCGAACGGGGAGCAGCCCAGAGUCUGAAUCAGCUUGUGUGUUAGUGGAAGCGUCUGGAAAGUCGCACGGUACAGGGUGAUAGUCCCGUACACGAAAAUGCACAGGUUGUGAACUCGAAGAGUAGGGCGGGACACGUGGUAUCCUGUCUGAAUAUGGGGGGACCAUCCUCCAAGGCUAAAUACUCCUGACUGACCGAUAGUGAACCAGUACCGUGAGGGAAAGGCGAAAAGAACCCCGGCGAGGGGAGUGAAAAAGAACCUGAAACCGUGUACGUACAAGCAGUGGGAGCACCUUCGUGGUGUGACUGCGUACCUUUUGUAUAAUGGGUCAGCGACUUAUAUUCUGUAGCAAGGUUAACCGUAUAGGGGAGCCGAAGGGAAACCGAGUCUUAACUGGGCGUUAAGUUGCAGGGUAUAGACCCGAAACCCGGUGAUCUAGCCAUGGGCAGGUUGAAGGUUGGGUAACACUAACUGGAGGACCGAACCGACUAAUGUUGAAAAAUUAGCGGAUGACUUGUGGCUGGGGGUGAAAGGCCAAUCAAACCGGGAGAUAGCUGGUUCUCCCCGAAAGCUAUUUAGGUAGCGCCUCGUGAAUUCAUCUUCGGGGGUAGAGCACUGUUUCGGCUAGGGGGCCAUCCCGGCUUACCAACCCGAUGCAAACUACGAAUACCGAAGAAUGUUAUCACGGGAGACACACGGCGGGUGCUAACGUCCGUCGUGAAGAGGGAAACAACCCAGACCGCCAGCUAAGGUCCCAAAGUCAUGGUUAAGUGGGAAACGAUGUGGGAAGGCACAGACAGCCAGGAUGUUGGCUUAGAAGCAGCCAUCAUUUAAAGAAAGCGUAAUAGCUCACUGGUCGAGUCGGCCUGCGCGGAAGAUGUAACGGGGCUAAACCAUGCACCGAAGCUGCGGCAGCGACACUAUGUGUUGUUGGGUAGGGGAGCGUUCUGUAAGCCGUUGAAGGUGUGCUGUGAGGCAUGCUGGAGGUAUCAGAAGUGCGAAUGCUGACAUAAGUAACGAUAAAGCGGGUGAAAAGCCCGCUCGCCGGAAGACCAAGGGUUCCUGUCCAACGUUAAUCGGGGCAGGGUGAGUCGACCCCUAAGGCGAGGCCGAAAGGCGUAGUCGAUGGGAAACAGGUUAAUAUUCCUGUACUUGGUGUUACUGCGAAGGGGGGACGGAGAAGGCUAUGUUAGCCGGGCGACGGUUGUCCCGGUUUAAGCAUGUAGGCGGAGGUUCCAGGUAAAUCCGGUACCUUUUAACGCUGAGGUGUGAUGACGAGGCACUACGGUGCUGAAGUAACAAAUGCCCUGCUUCCAGGAAAAGCCUCUAAGCAUCAGGUAACAUCAAAUCGUACCCCAAACCGACACAGGUGGUCAGGUAGAGAAUACCAAGGCGCUUGAGAGAACUCGGGUGAAGGAACUAGGCAAAAUGGUGCCGUAACUUCGGGAGAAGGCACGCUGAUAUGUAGGUGAAGCCCCUGCGGGUGGAGCUGAAAUCAGUCGAAGAUACCAGCUGGCUGCAACUGUUUAUUAAAAACACAGCACUGUGCAAACACGAAAGUGGACGUAUACGGUGUGACGCCUGCCCGGUGCCGGAAGGUUAAUUGAUGGGGUUAGCGGCAACGCGAAGCUCUUGAUCGAAGCCCCGGUAAACGGCGGCCGUAACUAUAACGGUCCUAAGGUAGCGAAAUUCCUUGUCGGGUAAGUUCCGACCUGCACGAAUGGCGUAAUGAUGGCCAGGCUGUCUCCACCCGAGACUCAGUGAAAUUGAACUCGCUGUGAAGAUGCAGUGUACCCGCGGCAAGACGGAAAGACCCCGUGAACCUUUACUAUAGCUUGACACUGAACACUGGUCCUUGAUGUGUAGGAUAGGUGGGAGGCUUUGAAGCGUGGACGCCAGUCUGCGUGGAGCCAUCCUUGAAAUACCACCCUUUAAUGGCUGGUGUUCUAACGUAGACCCGUGAUCCGGGUUGCGGACAGUGUCUGGUGGGUAGUUUGACUGGGGCGGUCUCCUCCCAAAGAGUAACGGAGGAGCACGAAGGUUAGCUAAUCCUGGUCGGACAUCAGGAGGUUAGUGCAAUGGCAUAAGCUAGCUUGACUGCGAGAGUGACGGCUCGAGCAGGUGCGAAAGCAGGUCAUAGUGAUCCGGUGGUUCUGAAUGGAAGGGCCAUCGCUCAACGGAUAAAAGGUACUCCGGGGAUAACAGGCUGAUACCGCCCAAGAGUUCAUAUCGACGGCGGUGUUUGGCACCUCGAUGUCGGCUCAUCACAUCCUGGGGCUGAAGUAGGUCCCAAGGGUAUGGCUGUUCGCCAUUUAAAGUGGUACGCGAGCUGGGUUUAGAACGUCGUGAGACAGUUCGGUCCCUAUCUGCCGUGGGCGCUGGAGAAUUGAGGGGGGCUGCUCCUAGUACGAGAGGACCGGAGUGGACGCAUCACUGGUGUUCGGGUUGUCAUGCCAAUGGCACUGCCCGGUAGCUAAAUGCGGAAAAGAUAAGUGCUGAAAGCAUCUAAGCACGAAACUUGCCCCGAGAUGAGUUCUCCCUGAGACUUUAAGUCUCCUGAAGGAACGUUGAAGACGACGACGUUGAUAGGUCGGGUGUGUAAGCGCAGCGAUGCGUUGAGCUAACCGAUACUAAUGAACCGUGAGGCUUAACCUUACAACGCCGAAGGUGUUU
rnacentral:rRNA from 1 species